rnacentral:rRNA from 1 species
AGUGAACGCUGGCGGUAGGCCUAACACAUGCAAGUCGAACGGCAGCACAGUAAGAUCUUGCUCUUACGGGUGGCGAGUGGCGGACGGGUGAGGAAUACAUCGGAAUCUACUUUUUCGUGGGGGAUAACGUAGGGCAACUUACGCUAAUACCUCAUACGACCUACGGGUGAAAGCAAGAGAUCUUCGGACCUUUCGCGAUUGUAUUAGCCGAUGUCGGAUUAGCUAGUUGGUAUGGUAACGGCCCACCAAGGCAACGAUGCGUAGCUGACCUGAGAGGAUGAUCAGCCACACUGGAACUGAGACACGGUCCAGACUCCUACGGGAGGCAGCAGUAGGGAAUCUUGCGCAAUGGGCGAAAGCCUGACCGAGCAACGCCGCGUGAGUGAUGAAGGUCUUCGGGUCGUAAAGCCCUGUUGUUGGGGAAGAACAAAAGUAGAAGAAACUAUGGACGUCUUGACGGUACCUAAAGAAAAAGCACCGGCUAACUACGUG